rnacentral:sRNA from 1 species
UAUGCUUGGUGAGUGGGCGCGAGUUCUUCU